UACGAAGGGGGCUAGCGUUGUUCGGAUUUACUGGGCGUAAAGCGCAUGUAGGCGGAUCGUUAAGUCGGGGGUGAAAGCCCAGAGCUCAACUCUGGAAUUGCCUUCGAAACUGGCGGUCUUGAGCAGAUGAGAGGCGAGUGGAAUUCCGAGUGUAGAGGUGAAAUUCGUAGAUAUUCGGAGGAACACCAGUGGCGAAGGCGGCUCGCUGGCAUCUUGCUGACGCUGAGAUGCGAAAGCGUGGGGAGCAAACAGG
rnacentral:rRNA from 1 species